rnacentral:rRNA from 1 species
CAGCAGCCACGGUAAUACGGAGGGGGCUAGCGCUGUUCUGAAUUACUGGGCGUAAAGCGCACGUAGGCGGCGAUCUAAGUCAGGGGUGAAAGCCCGGGGCUCAACCCCGGAAUAGCCUUUGAGACUGGAUUGCUAGAAUCUGGGAGAGGUGAGUGGAAUUCCGAGUGUAGAGGUGAAAUUCGUAGAUAUUCGGAAGAACACCAGUGGCGAAGGCGGCUCACUGGACCAGUAUUGACGCUGAGGUGCGAAAGCGUGGGGAGCAAACAGGAUUAGAUACCCCAGUAGUCCCUGUCUCUUAUAA